CUUUACGAGGAGCACAUGAACGCAGCACCUGCAAAAGCACCGUGGUCCGUCCUGCUAAUUAGGAACACCUGGCACCGCGAGGAGGUCGAGGACCAAACGACACCAGCCAGACAUCCCCGGAGAACUGGCGUUUGAAGUCAUCUUAAGGAAGAUAUGAAGACGGACCCCCCCACCCCUCCAAAAAAGAAGAGAAAAAAACGGCUCCUCAAUCGCAUGUAAGUACCUUGGUGUGCAAGGGACCCAAACAGCUUCCCUAUGAUGCGCAGAUGCCCACACAACGAAGAAGAUGAAGGUUGAAUUUCAAAAAGGUUAGCCCCCGUGUUGGUGAAAGUAUCGGAAUUUGAGUCGGACUGCAGUGAACUGUCAGUGGGGAAAGGCUCCUCUGCAUCGAGAACUGUGCAGCCACUGAAGGGGAAGACCAAUAACGCAGCAGUUUAAGCCUCAGGCUAGACGGAGCAAGUUCAACCAUCACGUCUGGGGGCGCAACAGGAAAGCAACGUUUUUGAGACUGCAGUCCAGCUUUGGAAACAGAUGGUCUCAAGAGAGUGAGCACUUGUCAGUCUCAGUGUGUGGAAAUACCAGGUUCCACCAGAAUGGAGCAGUAAUGCCAUAUUGCACAACCUUGUACAGAAGAUCUAUUGGUACUUCCUAGUUGGAUCAAUGUAGUGGCAAUAAUGGAUCUAUGGGUUGGAUCCUCUCUUAGAUGAUUUUCCUUUAUUAUUGCCACAUUGUUGAAAUGUGCUACACAAAUAAACUUGAUUUUUAGUGAUAUGUUAAGCAAUUUGCUGUUUUUCUUACUUGAUUUGUACAUAGUACUGUGAUAAUCCGUGUUUGUAUGUUAUAUAUGCCACAAAGGAGUGAUCAAAUCAUACCAGUCACAUUUCAAAAGGGCCAGUCGGACAUUAACAGUUCUCCUUUACAGCUAUUGGACUGAAAUGUAAAAUGAACUGCCCUACCAGAAAGUGCUAAUUGGCCAGCUCUACUUUAACACCCCCCCCCCCCUAAUAAGAAUGAUGGACUCUAAGUGGGGAGCAGUCAGACCCUGAACAAAUAAGAGUUUGUAGCUAUGAAUGCUGUGUGUCUAAUGGGGGGGGUGGGGGGGGGCACAGAUUGCUAGCCUACCCCUUACCUGGCUCUCAUACGUGGUGCAAGACAUCGUCACCUACGUUGCCUACGACGAUUGUCGUCUUGUAUCCUGACACGAGCUACAUGAAGACUCUAUUUAUUCUCCAAACCCCCUGAUUUUUAUACAUGUAGUUUUUAAUUCCAACAGACUCCACCCAAUCUUUGCACAGCUCUCUCUGCAGCCAGAAAAGAACGGCAUAACGAUGUGUUUUAGUAAUGCUCCUCCUGAAACAAUUGCCAAUUGCUACAGUUGCCAGGUGCCACCUGUGCUCAAUCUAAAUUCUGAUUAUUCUCUGUAUAGCAGCUAAUGCUGAUAGUGAUAAUUUGUAUUACCAAAGAAAUGUAUAAUGCAUAAUAUAAAAACUGUUUUCUCAAAUUCUGGUCUAAAAGGAUAUGUAUGCAGGUACACAUCAGUGUAUUUGCCAAAGGAUAGACUAAGGAGGAUCCGCAGGUGGGCUCAAUAAAAGCAUAUUAUUGACCACAAAAAAAAACAAUCAAAUUAAAGGAAAUGACACCUUUUCAGAAAGCCAGUGAGGGGUCUGUCAGCCUGAUGGAAUCCUCAUUUCUCUGCACCAUUUGGCAGCAAGUUGCACCUCUCUCUCCCUCGUUCUGCCUUAAUGGCCAUGCUGACAGUGACAUGAUAUUCCACAUAAAAGGAGCCAAGAGGAGCGAGACGGGGUGCAAAACCUCCAUUAACGUGUUUAGAAGUUGUGUAGCUUUAAGGCCUUGUCGGGGUUGGCCAUUAGGGCCAUGCCUCUUUGGCACUUCUUAACUUUGUGCUAAUGUAGUUAAGACGAUUUUGUUUAGUUUAAGUGCUCCGUGCAUGUUGCCAUGAAGCGUUUUACAAGAACAAGUUUUGUGAAGAAAUGUGUUGCGUCCAGAUUUAGAAGAUGAAAAUUGUUGUUAUGAUUAUGAAU
ensembl:lncRNA